CGUCCCUGUCUGAGGUCCUGUGAGAGGGGACUGGAGACGCGCCCUCACGUUGUCAGGGAGGGGGAUGGCGGGAGGAGGGAGCGACGUCGUCACCCCCCAGGGGAGGGUGGCGGCCAGACACUUCCAAACCUAAAAGUACAGGAGUCGACAGGGAAUAAAAAAGAGCAAGGGAAGAAGAAAUGGGCCGAAACGUGUUAAAUAAGUUACAUUUCAGGAGUAACUGAAAUCCAAAAACCAAACCAAAAUAAAACAAAAAACCAAAAGGAAAAACAAAGCUUCCAGCUGCCUCCAGAAGAUGCUCACUGUUCUCGCCGUUCUAGAAACGGGCAGGAAACGAUGAAGCCGGUGUUUGUCUUGUGUUCCCUGGAGGAGCUGUAGCCAACCACGUGACAAGAAGACCUCGUGAGGGCCGAGACCACGGGAGUUCUGGACGCUGACUGUGUGUCCAACGUCAAGGUUACCGAGAGUUUGGGCGAUAACGGUCUUCAAAGGCUCCGUCCAGCAGCGUCUACAGGGAAGUGAGGUGACCUGUGGGGAUCGCUCUGUAGCACGUGGAGGGAGCGGGGUAGAGAGAGACCAGCCGCACCCUGGUCAUCACUGAAAUUGGGUAACAGGGGUGCUGGGUUCAUGACCCUCUUCUCAACUUCUGCAUUUUGGGGGGAAAUUUUCCAUAAUAAAUACAUUCAAACAUUGAUGCCCCCGGGAGCUUACAUUCCAGUGUGCUGUGUAUGUUUGUAGGCAGAUAAAUAAGAAAACUGUGUAGUCCGUUAAAGCAAGGGGGGCAUGGGGGGGUCUUGCUGAGACAUUUGGGGUGAGGGAGAGACACAGCCUGGUGGCAGAGCCGCACCUCCAGGGGCCGGGCUGGGACUGGAAGAGUGUGCGGCCCCGAGGGGCCUCAGCCUUCAGGUGGGUGGGGUACAGAGCCCCUGGGGGCUGGAGCAGACCCGGCAGCUCCGGAGGUUUCCAUCAAGGCCCAGGACGCAGGAGGCCCAGCUGACUGGAGUUCAGCCAGUGAACCAGGCAGAGCGGAUGGAUGGCGGCAGCUGUGUGUUUGGAGAUCAGAAACUGAGGGCAAGAUGAUGCAGUGACUGAUGUGACUGGGGCCACUCAGGGCUGUGUGGUUCAUCCGGACCCACACCCACAUCUGACCUCAGGCCUCUGAGCUAAGCUGAUGGCCCUCAGACUCCAGGUGCAUCCCCUUUGUCUGCAGCUUCUGCCAUGGUCAGUCACUGGCAGCCCGUGUCACCUCCAGGAGCUCCAGGCUGACGGUGGAAUAUGGGGGUCAGGACCAGGCGUGACCGCAACCCACCCUGACCCCCCGGCUUGGGUUUGGUCCAUCACAUUCCAGUUCGUCUCUCAGAAGACAAAGCGGUGAGAGUCACUGUUCGGGGUGCUUGUGAAGAAAGUGGGGGUCCUGGCUGCAUGGAAGUCGUGUAGCUCCCAGAGCCCGUUGUCUGGCGAGGAAUGCCACCCUGGGUGACGGGCGCCGGGACGCCCCUUCCUACGAAAGCAGCCGGGUUCUCAGACUUCCGCGUGUCUGGUUCGGAGCUGGCUCUGCUUCCCAGCUCACAGGCGAGGUCUGCUCCUGGGGGGCGCGAGCUUCAACCAGAAACCCAGAAAACCAGCUCUUCCGCUUGGAAUUCCAUGAGCCAGUUAAGUAUCCUUCCUACAAGUUGAAGACGGACUGAAGCGAAUGGGCUUUUAAUUUUGCCUAAAAAAUAGAGCAAGCAGCCACAGACACCCCCAGUCUCGUUGCCUAAGCAAAGUGAGCUAAGAGGAAGGAGUGAGGCUCAGAAUAGGGCGUGGUGCCCACCGAGGCUGCUCCUGCCCUCACUGGUACGGACGUGCGGCCCUGCCCUGCUUCCUGGACAGCAGUGCGGGGAGGGCAGGCCCCAGGCGUGCUGCUGGCCUGUGGCAUCUUCAGACAUGAGGCCUGGAGCCUGUUUGCAGACGCUUUGGCCUCAGAGUGCGGCAAGGCCUGAGGGAAGGACACUCAGCCCGCACUCCGGUGUCCUUUGAGGAGCUGCCUGCAAUGAUAAGGCUGUUCGGCGUCUCCCAGGCAGGACCCUGUCACUCCUGUCAUUGCUUGGUCCAGGGCCUGCUCCCCAGAGCUGCUGCUCCAUGCCUUGCAAGCGCGUCUCAGGCACUUCAGGGAAGAGGAGCCACAGUGCGAAGGGGCAGAUCCCGGACCUGCAGACGGAGCCGAGGGAGGCGCCCUCCACCUGAGUCUCCGAGGUCUGACCACAUUUGCAAGGACACUGUGCUGUGGUUUUCCCUUGAAGGGGACACCAGGGGCCUGUGUGCCGUGCCUGUUGCUGCUCAUUCCGCCCACCUGCUCUUGUCCUGCUUCCUGGCCUGCUCCAGAUGCUGGGCUCUCAGACCUGGGUCCUCGCAGAGGGAUGCGGGCAGUGGCACAGGGUGGCCGGAGCUGUAGGCGGGAUGAAUGUGUCUUGGGGCGCCUGGCUCAGACAAAAGAGCAUGCAGCUCCUGAUCUAGGGGUUGUGAGUUUGAGCCCCGUGUUGGGUGAAGAGAUUUCUUAAAUAAACUCUAAAAGAAAGGA